rnacentral:rRNA from 1 species
UACGGGGGGAGCAAGCGUUGUUCGGAUUUACUGGGCGUAAAGGGCGCGUAGGCGGCCACCGCAAGUCGACUGUGAAAUCUCCGGGCUUAACCCGGAAAGGUCAGCCGAUACUGCGGGGCUAGAGUGCAGAAGGGGCAACUGGAAUUCUCGGUGUAGCGGUGAAAUGCGUAGAUAUCGAGAGGAACACCUGCGGCGAAGGCGGCGACCUGGACAGGAACUGACACUCAACUGCGAAAGCGUGGGGAGCAAACAGG